CGAGAGGGGGCUAGCGUUGUUCGGAAUUACUGGGCGUAAAGGGCGCGUAGGUGGCCUGUUAAGUCGAACGUGGAAUCCCCGGGCUCAACCCGGGAACUGCGUCCGAGACUGGCAGGCUCGAAUCCGGGAGAGGGAUGUGGAAUUCCAGGUGUAGCGGUGAAAUGCGUAGAUAUCUGGAGGAACACCGGUGGCGAAGGCGGCAUCCUGGACCGGUAUUGACGCUGAGGCGCGAAAGCCAGGGGAGCAAACGGGAUUAGAUACCCCGGUAGUCCUGGCCCUAAACGAUGAAUGCUUGGUGUGGCGGGUAUCGAUCCCUGCCGUGCCGAAGCUAACGCAUUAAGCAUUCCGCCUGAGGAGUACGGUCGCAAGGCUG
rnacentral:rRNA from 1 species